UACGUAGGGGGCAAGCGUUGUCCGGAUUUAUUGGGCGUAAAGCGCUCGCAGGCGGCUCGAUGCGUCGUGCGUGAAACACCCCGGCUCAACUGCAGGCUUGCGGUCGAUACGGGCAGGCUAGAGUUCGGUAGGGGAGACUGGAAUUCCUGGUGUAGCGGUGAAAUGCGCAGAUAUCAAGUGGAACACCAGUGGCGAAGGCGAGUCCCUGGACAACUCCUGACACUGAGGCACGAAAGCUAGGGGAGCAAACAGG
rnacentral:rRNA from 1 species